GGACUACAGGGGUUUCUAAUCCUGUUCGCUCCCCACGCUUUCGCUCCUCAGCGUCAGUGUCGGCCCAGACCACCGCCUUCGCUGCUGGUGUUCCUCCUGAUAUCUGCGCAUUUCACCGCUACACCAGGAAUUCCGUGGUCCCCUACCGAACUCUAGUCAUGGCAGUAUCGAACGGCCGCUCCAGGUUGAGCCUGGAGAUUUCACAAUCGACUUACCAAACCGCCUACGAGCUCUUUACGCCCAAUAAAUCCGGACAACGCUUGCACCCUACGUAUUACCGCGGCUGCUGGCAC
rnacentral:rRNA from 1 species